GUUAAUUUUAAAUAUCUUUGCAGGUCUACUAUCCCUCCUUAUCAUAGUAAAGGUCCAUCAUUUAGUGUUCAUGAAUUGACGGAUUGGGAAGUGAGAAUUACUAUCCCUCCUUAUCAAAAUGAAGGUCUAUCAUCUAGUGUUCAUGAAUGGAUGGAUUGGGAAGUGAGAACUACUAUCCCUCCUUAUCAAAAUGAAGGUCCAUCAUCUAGUGUUCAUAAAUGGACGGAUUGGGAAGUAAGAACUACUAUCCCUCUUUAUCAAAAUGAAGGUCCAUCAUCUAGUGUUCGUGAAUGGACUAAUCGGGAAGUGACUACAACUGAUAAUGAGGACGUAAUUGGAAGUGAUGAGGAGUAUGUUAUUAAAACUGAUGAAGAGGAUCAAGGGCGAAUUGAUGCUGAUUCUAAUGAUGACGAGGAAUCCUUUGUUCCGUGUUCUUUGGAUCCUGAUAAUGACGGUGGCUUGAAUGCACUUGUAGUGUUCCAGAGGUUUAGAUAGGAUUGGCUUCAGUGUUAGUGACUGGUCGACACAUCUGGAGAGUGUCGGACUGAGUCGGAGUCGUUUCUGCGCAAAAUGGAUGCAUAA
rnacentral:lncRNA from 1 species